AUUGAACGCUGGCGGCAGGCUUAACACACGCUAGUCGAGCGAGCGGCGGACGGGUGUGUCAUGUCUGGGAAACUGCCUGAUGUAGGGGGAUAACUACUGGAAACGGUACCUAAUACCGCAUACCAUCAGAUGUGCCCAUAUGGGAUUAGCUAGUGGGUGGGGUAGUGGUUCACCUGGGCGACGAUCCCUAGCUGGUCUGAGAGGAUGACCAGCCACACUGGAAGUGAGACACGGUCCAGACGCCUACGGGAGGCAGGAGUGGGGAAAAUUGCACAAUGGGCGCAAGCCUGAUGCAGCCAUGCCGCGUGUGUGAAGAAGGCCUUCGGGUUGUAAAGCACUUUCAGCGAGGAGGCGUUACUCGCAGAAGAAGCACCGGCUAACUCCGUGCCAGCAGCCGCGGUAAUUC
rnacentral:rRNA from 1 species